GGGCGUAAAGCGAGCGCAGGCGGUUUCUUAAGUCUGAUGUGAAAGCCUUCGGCUCAACCGAAGAAGUGCAUCGGAAACUGGGAAACUUGAGUGCAGAAGAGGACAGUGGAACUCCAUGUGUAGCGGUGAAAUGCGUAGAUAUAUGGAAGAACACCAGUGGCGAAGGCGGCUGUCUGGUCUGUAACUGACGCUGAGGCUCGAAAGCAUGGGUAGCAAACAGGAUUAGAUACCCUGGUAGUCCAUGCCGUAAACGAUGAGUGCUAGGUGUUGGAGGGUUUCCGCCCUUCAGUGCCGCAGCUAACGCAUUAAGCACUCCGCCUGGGGAGUACGACCGCAAGGUUGAAACUCAAAGGAAUUGACGGGGGCCCGCACAAGCGGUGGAGCAUGUGGUUUAAUUCGAAGCAACGCGAAGAACCUUACCAGGUCUUGACAUCCUUUGACCACUCUAGAGAUAGAGCUUUCCCUUCGGGGACAAAGUGACAGGUGGUGCAUGGUUGUCGUCAGCUCGUGUCGUGAGAUGUUGGGUUAAGUCCCGCAACGAGCGCAACCCUUAUUACUAGUUGCCAGCAUUUAGUUGGGCACUCUAGUGAGACUGCCGGUGACAAACCGGAGGAAGGUGGGGACGACGUCAAAUCAUCAUGCCCCUUAUGACCUGGGCUACACACGUGCUACAAUGGAUGGUACAACGAGUUGCGAGACCGCGAGGUUUAGCUAAUCUCUUAAAACCAUUCUCAGUUCGGAUUGUAGACUGCAACUCGCCUACAUGAAGCCGGAAUCGCUAGUAAUCGCGGA
rnacentral:rRNA from 1 species